rnacentral:rRNA from 1 species
UACGUAGGGGGCUAGCGUUGUCCGGAUUUAUUGGGCGUAAAGAGCGUGUAGGCGGCCAGGUAGGUCGGUUGUGAAAACUGGAGGCUCAACCUUCAGAGGUCGACCGAAACCAUCUGGCUAGAGUCCGGGAGAGGAGAGUGGAAUUCCACGUGUAGCGGUGAAAUGCGUAGAGAUGUGGAGGAACACCGAUGGCGAAGGCAGCCUCCUGGGCCAACACUGACGCUCAUGCACGAAAGCGUGGGGAGCAAACAGG